GGGAAUUUUCCGCAAUGGGCGAAAGCCUGACGGAGCAAUACCGCGUGAGGGAAGAAAGCCUACUGGGUUGUAAACCUCUUUUUUCAGGGGGGAAAAAAAUGACGUGUACCUGAAGAAUAAGCAUCGGCUAACUCCGUGCCAGCAGCCGCGGUAAGACGGAGGAUGCAAGUGUUAUCCGGAAUUACUGGGCGUAAAGCGUCUGUAGGUGGUUUAAUAAGUCAACUGUUAAAUCUUGAGGCUUAACUUCAAAACAGCAGUCGAAACUAUUAGACUAGAGUAUAGUAGGGGUAAAGGGAAUUUCCAGUGGAGCGGUGAUUUGCGUAGAUAUUGGAAAGACCACCGAUGGCGAAAGCACUUUACUGGGCUAUUACUAACACUCAGAGACGA
rnacentral:rRNA from 1 species